rnacentral:rRNA from 1 species
AUUGAACGCUGGCGGCAUGCUUUACACAUGCAAGUCGAACGGCAGCACGAAAGAGCUUGCUCUUUUGGUGGCGAGUGGCGAACGGGUGAGUAAUGCAUCGGAACGUACCGAGUAAUGGGGGAUAACUGUCCGAAAGGAUAGCUAAUACCGCAUACGCUUUGAGAAGGAAAGUGGGGGCUCUUCGGACCUCACGUUAUUCGAGCGGCCGAUGUCUGAUUAGCUAGUUGGUGGGGUAAAGGCCUACCAAGGCGACGAUCAGUAGCGGGUCUGAGAGGAUGAUCCGCCACACUGGGACUGAGACACGGCCCAGACUCCUACGGGAGGCAGCAGUGGGGAAUUUUGGACAAAGGGCGCAAGCCUGAUCCAGCCAUGCCGCGUGUCUGAAGAAGGCCUUCGGGUUGUAAAGGACUUUUGUUAGGGAAGAAAAGGAUAGUGUUAAUACCAUGAUCUGCUGACGGUACCUAAAGAAUAAGCACCGGCUAACUACGUG